AAGUGGUAUCUGGAAAGAGGAAUGUUGUCUGGAUCGUGGU
rnacentral:sRNA from 1 species